UUUAACACGUUUAUUGAGUUACUGCAUCAAACUGGAAAUGUUAGAAAAGGGCAGAAUGAAAUAAAUGAAUCCAGGCAAGUUUUUCUCCUAUUUAUAGUCCUAUCCGCCAAAUUUUAUCGGAAGUUUCCUUACAAAUCCUGAUUCUUGUAUGAUGUAAUCACGAACUUGCUGGAGUAAUAUAUUCAUUUAAUGAUUUUUUUCACGGUGCGGUUACUUAUUCUAACUCUUGAGAAAGUAAAAAUUAUCUAAAAGUGGGCACAUAACUUGGCAGUUUGUAAUGACAAAAAGUAUGAAAUAGAGAUGUUUAAGCUUUCAAUGAUAUAUGCCAUUGUUGAUGUGAGAAAUAUUUAGGAAGUUCUGUUUCACUGGACAUGUUUAGAGAGAACUAGAAACACGUAAUGCUUCUGAUACAUUAUGCUUGAAAUGGAAUCUAAUGGAGAUUCAGAAUAAAUGAAUAAAAGAUAUACAUUUAUCUAAUUGUUAUUGUGCUGCAAAUAAAAGGAAGUAAGGCAUUUCAAACAACCUCUGGCACAAAUAUGGUAAUUCCUGGUUUUUUUCUCUUGGAUUUCCUGAAACACACUUGAUAUUUCUGCACAGCUUGAUAGUUUUAGUUUUUUUUCUUUUCCAAAUGUAGUCUUAACCUUUUCUGACUAAGCAUUUUGUACCUCCUGCACCAUUAAAUUCUAAAUUUAUAUCCAAUUUUGUAUUGACUCUCUCUUUUGAAAUAAUUAUGAGUAUCAUUCUAUUUUUGUUCAGAGAGUUUUGAGUUGUGGUUUAGAUGAUGCUAUGUGGUUAAGUACUUGUCUCUCCCAGAAAGUUCACAAAAUAUCUAGAUAGCUAUAUGGUAAAAGUUUCUCUCAUUAGGUAAUCUUGAACUUUGUCCACUUUCCAUUAGCAAUUCAAAUGUCAAGUCCUUUUUUUUAGCUAUCUAGGUCUACCAUUUUUAUCAUUAAGUAGUUGAUAGUUCGGAUGAUGAGAUUUGCAGCAGAGGAUUUUAAUUGAAUUGUUUAGUAAAACAGACUGUAGAUUGCUACUGCAAUAAAAGUGUGAGGUUUGUUUCUAAUGACUAGAAGUUUCAUGGCAUGAGAUCUGUGUUGUUUUGCUUAUCACCAUGAAAUGCCUUACUUCCUUUUAUUUGCAGCACAAUAACAAUUAGAUAAAUGAAAUGGAAUCUUCUGAUAAAUUGUAUUUAAUAAAUGAAUCCAGGUAAUGCUUACGUUUAGGUACACUAAGGAUUUCUUCAUUUCUUAAAAAGUGGCAUAAAGAUAGAAUACAAUUUAUAUCUUUGAAAUGUUUCAAGCCAUCAAUUUGAUCAAUGUAAUCAUCCUUACUUUUUCUUUUAUGAAUUUUCAAGAAAUUCAUCAAGUGUUCUAAUUAUUUAUGGUAAAUGGUCAUGUUAUGCCGGUUUCCUGUGGAUGAAAACUCAACUACGAAGUCAGUUGUUGAAUACUUUCAAGAGAUGUACGGUUUCACAAUUCAGCAUACUCAUCUGCCUUGUCUUCAAGUAGGAAACCAGAGGAAGGCAAAUUAUCUACCAUUGGAGGUUGAGAGCAGUUAUUUGACAAGCUUUUUUGUUCCUACUGAUGGAUUCAGUUACAUUUCUUUCCAUAAUUCUUUACAGUAUCUAACACUAUUGAGUUUUUCCAGGCUUGCAAGAUUGUGGAGGGUCAGAGAUGCACAAAAAGGUUGAAUGAGAAGCAAAUUACAGCUCUUCUGAAAGUCACUUGCCAAAGACCAAGGGAUCGAGAAAAUGACAUUCUGCAGGUACCUUUAAUGUUGUAAUCUUGCUAUCUUUUACCUUUUCUUGCUGGUGACUGAUAAAAUUUAAUUGUAGUUAUUAUUCUUAUUCCUGAACACGUAUGUACAUUGGGAAAUAUUAAGUUGGAAUAUCCAUCCAGCACGCAUAGUUCCUUACCUUUUCCGUGUCAUUUGCCAACCACGCAUAGUGCUUUAGAACUUGUGCUUUUUGAGAUCGUGUUUUUUCAUGUCAGGAUCUUUCUUCCUGGUAAUAGGAGUCUAAGAUUCAGUAAAUCUACUUUGUGAACGGAAUUCAUCUUUAUUGUCAAAUACUAUCAGAAACUUUUGAAACAUAGGGC
rnacentral:lncRNA from 1 species